ensembl:snRNA U6 U6 spliceosomal RNA
GUGCUUGCUUCAGCAGCACAUAUAAUAAAAUUGGAACGAUACAGAGAAGAUUAGCAUGGCCCUGAGCAAGGAUGACACGCAAAUCUGUGAAGCACUCCAUAUUUUU